rnacentral:rRNA from 1 species
GACGAACGCUGGCGGCGUGCUUAACACAUGCAAGUCGAACGGAAAGGCCCUGCUUUUGUGGGGUGCUCGAGUGGCGAACGGGUGAGUAACACGUGAGUAACCUGCCCUUGACUUUGGGAUAACUUCAGGAAACUGGGGCUAAUACCGGAUAGGAGCUCCUGCUGCAUGGUGGGGGUUGGAAAGUUUCGGCGGUUGGGGAUGGACUCGCGGCUUAUCAGCUUGUUGGUGGGGUAGUGGCUUACCAAGGCUUUGACGGGUAGCCGGCCUGAGAGGGUGACCGGCCACAUUGGGCCUGAGAUACGGCCCAGACUCCUACGGGAGGCAGCAGUGGGGAAUAUUGCACAAUGGGCGGAAGCCUGAUGCAGCAACGCCGCGUGCGGGAUGACGGCCUUCGGGUUGUAAACCGCUUUCGCCUGUGACGAAGCGUGAGUGACGGUAACGGGUAAAGAAGCACCGGCUAACUACGUG